rnacentral:rRNA from 1 species
UAGCGAAGCUCUUGAUCGAAGCCCGAGUAAACGGCGGCCGUAACUAUAACGGUCCUAAGGUAGCAAAAUUCCUUGUCGGUUAAAUACCGACCUGCAUGAAUGGCGUAACGAGAUGGGAGCUGUCUCAAAGAGGGAUCCAGUGAAAUUGUAGUGGAGGUGAAAAUUCCUCCUACCCGCGGCAAGACGGAAAGACCCCGUGGACCUUUACUACAGCUUGACACUGCUACUUGGAUAAGAAUGUGCAGGAUAGGUGGGAGGCUUUGAGUAUAUGACGCCAGUUGUAUAUGAGCCAUUGUUGAGAUACCACUCUUUCUUAUUUGGGUAGCUAACCAGCUUGAGUUAUCCUCAAGUGGGACAAUGUCUGGUGGGUAGUUUGACUGGGGCGGUCGCCUCCCAAAUAAUAACGGAGGCUUACAAAGGUUGGCUCAGAACGGUUGGAAAUCG